UGAACGCUAGCGGUAUGCCUAACACAUGCAAGUCGUACGAAAGUUUUUAACUUAAGUGGCGGACGGGUGAGUAACACGUGAGAAUUUACCUUUAGGAGGGGGAUAACAAUUGGAAACGAUUGCUAAUACCCCAUAUGCUUGAGAGUGAAAUAGAUUUAUCUGCCUAGAGAAAAGCUCGCGGCUGAUUAGCUAGUUGGUAGGGUAAUGGCCUACCAAGGCGACGAUCAGUAUCUGGUUUGAGAGGACGAUCAGACACACUGGAACUGAGACACGGUCCAGACUCCUACGGGAGGCAGCAGUGGGGAAUUUUCCGCAAUGGGCGAAAGCCUGACGGAGCAAUACCGCGUGAGGGAAGACGGCCUAUGGGUUGUAAACCUCUUUUUUCAGGGAGGAAUAAAUGACGUGUACCUGAAGAAUAAGCAUCGGCUAACUCC
rnacentral:rRNA from 1 species